AUGCAUAUACCUCAGUGGUAGAGUACUUGCCUAGACUGCAUGAGGCCCUGGGUUCAAUCCCCAGUACCAUA
rfam:Heterocephalus glaber contig213806, whole genome shotgun sequence.